rnacentral:rRNA from 1 species
AGUAAAAGUCGUAACAAGGUCUCCGUAGGUGAACCUGCGGAGGGAUCAUUACAAGUGACCCCGGUCUAACCACCGGGAUGUUCAUAACCCUUUGUUGUCCGACUCUGUUGCCUCCGGGGCGACCCUGCCUUCGGGUGGGGGCUCCGGGUGGACACUUCAAACUCUUGCGUAACUUUGCAGUCUGAGUAAACUUAAUUAAUAAAUUAAAACUUUUAACAACGGAUCUCUUGGUUCUGGCAUCGAUGAAGAACGCAGCGAAAUGCGAUAAGUAAUGUGAAUUGCAGAAUUCAGUGAAUCAUCGAAUCUUUGAACGCACAUUGCGCCCCCUGGUAUUCCGGGGGGCAUGCCUGUUCGAGCGUCAUUUCACCACUCAAGCCUCGCUUGGUAUUGGGCAACGCGGUCCGCCGCGUGCCUCAAAUCGACCGGCUGGGUCUUCUGUCCCCUAAGCGUUGUGGAAACUAUUCGCUAAAGGGUGCUCGGGAGGCUACGCCGUAAAACAAACCCAUUUCUAAGGUUGACCUCGGAUCAGGUAGGGAUACCCGCUGAACUUAAGCAUAUCAAUAAGCGGAGGAAAAGAAACCAACAGGGAUUGCCCUAGUAACG